rnacentral:rRNA from 1 species
GAAUGCCUUACACAUGCAGUCGUACGGCAGCACGGACUUCGGCAGGUGGCGAGUGGCGAACGGGUGAGGAGGGGCGGAACGUGCCUAGUAGCGGGGGAUAACUACGCGAAAGCGAAGCUAAUACCGCAUACGCCCUACGGGGGAAAGCAGGGGAUCGCAAGACCUUGCACUAUUAGAGCGGCCGAUAUCGGAUUAGCUAGUUGGUGGGGUAACGGCUCACCAAGGCGACGAUCCGUAGCUGGUUUGAGAGGACGACCAGCCGCACUGGGACUGAGACACGGCCCAGACUCCUACGGGAGGCAGCAGUGGGGAAUUUUGGACAAUGGGGGAAACCCUGAUCCAGCCAUCCCGCGUGUGCGAUGAAGGCCUUCGGGUUGUAAAGCACUUUUGGCAGGAAAGAAACGUUCCGGGUUAAUACCCCGGGAAACUGACGGUACCUGCAGAAUAAGCACCGGCUAACUACGUGCCAGCAGCCGCGGUAAUACGUAGGGUGCAAGCGUUAAUCGGAAUUACUGGGCGUAAAGCGUGCGCAGGCGGUUCGGAAAGAAAGAUGUGAAAUCCCAGAGCUUAACUUUGGAACUGCAUUUUUAACUACCGAGCUAGAGUGUGUCAGAGGGAAGUGGAAAUUCCGCGU